AUCACUGCCAUUUGAUUGUCAGAGCAGGCGCCGCGCGCCGCGUAAUCGCGAUCGCGCGCGAGCCGGAUCGCGCACGAUCGGCGCGACGAUCAGCGGAUCAUCCGUUCCCGAAAGGAUUUCCCGUGAUUUUGCCUGCUGCUUACUCGAUCGAUCGAUCGGUCGGCGUCUUCUUCGCGAAGAUUUCCGGAAGUCGCGGACUUGAACAAGUUUGUUGGUCGCCGCGUGACGUCAGGACCAGCGUGAAAAGCGUCGCGCUUGCGAUUUCUGAUAUCUGGAUGAUAUCACGAUUGCAUCGAUCGCAUGUGAAUAAUCGUGGGCUUUAUCGCGAGUCAUCGAUCGUCCGAGUUUGUUCACUUCGCAAAAAUGUUACGUGACGCUUCUCAGGAAUCGCAUGUGUUUAUUCAGGCACCCCGUUGUUCAUUGUGUGAUAUUUCUGGAGGCACUUAUUAAUACGUGAACUGAUUCCGACAUCUCACGCGGAACGAUCUUUUUGGAUCUCCGAUCUGACGUUCGCGCGUUGCGCGCACAUUAUGCGAGAUCGUGUACAGUGAAUAAUUACAUCACAGUUGAACGUGAAUUAAAUUCUGAGCAGCCGCUACCGUGACAGCGCCCCGUAAUCAGCCGGCGAUAACUCAUUUAAUGGAAGCGUUUGGUUUCACGAACACGCGACACACGAUCCGAGCAACGAAGCAACGCACACGAAGAACGAAGAGCACUCCGGAGUUCCACGAUCGAAAGCGAUGACGAUCAUCGACCUUGCUGGAUCGGCGCCGUUAAUCGCAGCUACAGUAAUUUAGCUCACGUGUGUCUCCGACCACGUGCACGGCAUCACGAAACAGGGCUUUCCUGAAGAGAAACGAUUUUCGCUAAUUCUCGUCAAUUGGGAUCAAGAUCAAGAUGAAGAGAAAUUUCGAGGGAUCUCAUGGACUCGAUUUAAUGGAACUCGAAACGAAUUACGUAACGGUGUAAUCGGUUACUCGAUUUUCUCGUACGCGCAGUGACGCUUUCUCUCGCCUCGAUUUUCCAGAUAGUGUAUUGAAUUGUCGCAAUAAACGCAGAAGCCUGAUUUGAUGUUUGCAAUUGCUUUGAUUGAUCGCGAUCUUCGUUGAGAGCAGACUCGACUCUGAGUGCGCAAAAGCGAAACCACGUGCGUGCGUGGCAAAGAUUUAUCUUGCAUUUAACGGGAUCAAGUGUGAGGAUUUCACGGGAAGAUCGGAGUGUCGACUUUGCGAAACGCGAUUCCACUGAUUACGCGCUCUACCCACAGCGAUCGAGUGCUGAAAGAAUUUCACGGAAACUGGAGGAUUUAAUGGGCACCAAGUAAUGAAAAAGGAGCAUCCGGUACACUGUUUAACCCUGAUGACUCUCGAUCUCAGAUAAGGGGAGGAAAAUGGGAGAAGGAAGAUGCAGCCGAAGGAAACGAGAAUUUGCGAGUCGUGGACGAGCGACAGCGUCUGAUCACGGUGUCGCGCGUGUACGUCACUCGGUGUGAAGGAAACAUCAAAAAGCGACCCGCUGAAAGGAGGUGCACGUGGACGGAGGUGACGGCGGAAGAAUCCUUAACGCGAGCACGCGUGCAAGAGGCGAUUGUCCAGCGAUUCAUCUUCUCUCGCAGGUUCGCAGGUGUUCGCGCGCGUCCUUCACGACCUCCUUGUCGUCGAUCGUCCUUUUCUUCCCGAUGAGGUGAGCAGCCCUUGGUCACUCCUCUACUCCGCGAUCAGCACGAGAGAGAAAGGUGACGUAAGGGAGGAAGAGGGAGGCAAGGAAAACGAGAACACGUUGCGAUAGUGCUGGAAUAGACGAGACGGAUCGGGGAGAGCGAUCCGCGGAGAAGGAAAGGGACAAGGUUUAGAAGAGCGAGAAGAGCGGAACGAAGAGGAGAGAAGACGAGAGAAGAAGCGGACAAAUAGAAAAGUGGAAGACGUCGGGGCAAGAGAGUCGCUGAGAGAAGAAAGACGAAGAAGAGCAGCGAUCAAGACGGAGACAGGGAUAAACCUUAACGAAGCGGAGGAAGAGAGCUCCCAAGAGAGAAAGAGAGAGAGAGAGAUACGCAGAGAGAGGGCGAAA
rnacentral:lncRNA from 1 species